rnacentral:rRNA from 1 species
UACGAAGGGGGCUAGCGUUGUUCGGAAUUAUUGGGCGUAAAGGGCGCGUAGGCGGCCGACCAAGUCGGGUGUGAAAUCCCUCGGCUCAACCGAGGAACUGCACUCGAUACUGGCCGGCUUGAGUCCGGGAGGGGAUGGUGGAAUUCCCAGUGUAGCGGUGAAAUGCGUAGAUAUUGGGAAGAACACCAGUGGCGAAGGCGACUACCUGGCCUGUUCUUGACGCUGAGGCGCGAAAGCUAGGGGAGCAAACGGG